GACGAACGCUGGCGGCGUGCCUAAUACAUGCAAGUAGAACGCACAGUUUAUACCGUAGCUUGCUACACCAUAGACUGUGAGUUGCGAACGGGUGAGUAACGCGUAGGUAACCUGCCUGGUAGCGGGGGAUAACUAUUGGAAACGAUAGCUAAUACCGCAUAAUAUUGAUUAUUGCAUGAUAAUUAAUUGAAAGGUGCAAUUGCACCACUACCAGAUGGACCUGCGUUGUAUUAGCUAGUAGGUGAGGUAACGGCUCACCUAGGCGACGAUACAUAGCCGACCUGAGAGGGUGAUCGGCCACACUGGGACUGGGACACGGCCCAGACUCCUACGGGAGGCAGCAGUAGGGAAUCUUCGGCAAUGGACGAAAGUCUGACCGAGCAACGCCGCGUGAGUGAAGAAGGUUUUCGGAUCGUAAAGCUCUGUUGUAAGAGAAGAACGGGUGUGAGAGUGGAAAGUUCACACUGUGACGGUAUCUUACCAGAAAGGGACGGCUAACUACGUG
rnacentral:rRNA from 1 species